rnacentral:lncRNA from 1 species
GAACUCAUGGUAACUCGCGAUCUAAGCUAAAUGAAAUGAAGGCUAGGAUUUUUGUCCAAGCAGGCUCACUCUUGGUAAUUCAAGUGAUUUGCAGGAAAAGCACUUGACGUUCAGGAACAAUCAUUGCUGCAAAUCAAUGUGAAUUAGUAAGAGAAGAUAACUUUGUUAAAAAUCAACAGCCUUCGGAUCCCAUUAAUAGCUUGACGUUAGGAACCAGUAUUUCAUGAGUUUUGAUAUCAAAAGGGACACCACAUCACGCAACAGCCAGCCUCACUCUUCCAAUUUUGCAUGAUCCCUCGGAACAGCACUUGCCGCAUUAGGAACAAUCAUUGCGAAGGAUCAGUUAAAAUUCGAAGAGCAGAGAACUGUUUUGCGACCAUUCAAUCCAGACAUCACUUGAAUUCGAUAGUCUAAUCAGGAAACCGAAUAAGAGCAUUCUGAUAGAAGCAGGCUUACUCUUAGAGAUUUAAGUGAUUUUGCGAAAAAGAAUUGCCGUUUAGGAUCAAUCAUUUCCCUAAAUCAAUGUAAAUCUUUAAGAGGAGAGAACUUGUACUAGAAUAUUGUUCUGUAAACUGAAUUUUAGAAUAUUGCUAUUCCUAACAAAAAAAAAACUUUGUUUUUUUUUUCACCCAGUCCGGGAUAAUUGUUACCUCUGAGAUAGGUCCCAAUAUUAAUUUUCUUCUUUUUCUUAUGUAAAUAUUUAUUCUUUGUUUAUAUUUUGUCUUUUUUGUAAAUAAUUAUCCCCUUACUAUAAAAGUUGUAAAUACUUGUAUAUAACUAUUCCCUUACUAUAAAAUAUGAAAUCUGUAAAUAAAAUUUGAAUUCAAAUUCCCUCCCAUAAAACCCUACAUCGUCAUUCCUUCCUCCUUGCACUAAAAUAACAUGGCGCGCAUUACCAACUGCGCAAAAACAAACCGCUCCCGGGAAAUGUUCCGCGGACAUAGAUUUUGCAGCAUCAUGAAAUUGCUUAAAAGCCAAUGUUGGUGAAGGCAAAAGCCUCUUUUCGGAACAAAGUUUCAAGUGUUGUGCGACGCGAGUGGUCCAAAGUUACAGCCCUCGCGGGGUUUUGACCAGUGAUAAUUGUGCCGAUUAAUCAGCCCUGGAACGUACCGACGAAACCGCCUACCACCCCUCAACCGUUCGCGACGAAAGGCCGUUCGCUACCCCUCGCCCGUCAAGAAGCGCGCCCGGUGCCCAGCUCGAGUCGACAUUGAAUCGGGUCAUCACGGAGUGUUCGAACGGCGAUUCGUCCGACAAGACCCCCAGCAGUUGGCAACCGGCAAAUGAUCCGCCAUCCGGCGCCAGGUGAUGUGCAGUGCAAAAAAUCCCAAAUAACCCUAUUCCCAUUUCCCGUAAAUUACUAAAUAAACUAAACAAAUGAAUUCGAAUUUUAUAAUC